UUGCAAUGAUGUGAAUCUGACUGAAGUGACUUUGAAGUGUAAUUAUUGAGCUUUUUAACCCUGAGCAGU